AUUGAGCGCUGGCGGCAUGCCUUACACAUGCAAGUCGAACGGCAGCAUGAUCUAGCUUGCUAGAUUGAUGGCGAGUGGCGAACGGGUGAGUAAUACAUCGGAACGUGCCCUGUAGUGGGGGAUAACUAGUCGAAAGAUUAGCUAAUACCGCAUACGACCUGGGGGUGAAAGUGGGGGACCGCAAGGCCUCAUGCUAUAGGAGCGGCCGAUGUCUGAUUAGCUAGUUGGUGAGGUAAAGGCUCACCAAGGCGACGAUCAGUAGCUGGUCUGAGAGGACGAUCAGCCACACUGGGACUGAGACACGGCCCAGACUCCUACGGGAGGCAGCAGUGGGGAAUUUUGGACAAUGGGCGAAAGCCUGAUCCAGCAAUGCCGCGUGUGUGAAGAAGGCCUUCGGGUUGUAAAGCACUUUUGUCCGGAAAGAAAUGGCUCUGGUUAAUACCUGGGGUCGAUGACGGUACCGGAAGAAUAAGGACCGGCUAACUACGUG
rnacentral:rRNA from 1 species